UACAUGGGGUGCAAGCGUUGCUCGGAAUCAUUGGGCGUAAAGCGCGUGUAGGCGGUCCGGUAAGUCCGCUGUGAAAGUCGGGGGCUCAACCCUCGAAAGCCGGUGGAAACUGUCGGGCUAGAGUGCGGAAGAGGCGAGUGGAAUUCCUGGUGUAGCGGUGAAAUGCGCAGAUAUCAGGAGGAACACCAAUUGCGAAGGCAGCUCGCUGGGACGUUACUGACGCUGAGACGCGAAAGCGUGGGGAGCAAACAGG
rnacentral:rRNA from 1 species